CCUGUUUAACAAGUUCAAAGAAACAUUUCCCAAGGUUUUGGCAGUAGAAGUGGGGCGAACCAUUAGAGAACAUACAUACGUAUAAAUGCCUGCUGUUCAGGUGUAGCUUUUUCCCAGAAAGCAAGAAAAGAGAACAGAGAGAAAGAGAGUGAAAGAUGGCGAGCAGAAAGGAACAAUCACACAACCCCAGAUCACAGGAGAAGGAAAAACGUAUACUGACCAAACAGGACAGCAUUGAUAAAAGACUAAAUUGGCGGCCCUAAGAGGCGGGGCGUCGAUGACGAGCCGGAGGGGCGGAUAUGGUGAACAGUUGUUUGUGCCAUAGCUGUUACUAGGAGGAGAAAGUUACACCUUAGCAUUCCCAUUCAUCUCAAAAUGACAGUUAUUUGGGUGGCACCCCAGAAGUAAACCUUUCAAUGCAACCUGGAUUUUUUAAAGGAAUGUUCCAGGUUCAAUACCAGUUAAGAGCAAUCGACAGCUUUUGUGGCAUAAUAUUGAUUACCACAAAAAUUUAUUUUAAAUGGUCCCUCGAUCUUUUUAAAUAAGAACACAAAUCUGGAUUAUGGUGUGGCACAACCAAGUGAAUGUGGCCAAAUUUGGAGGGUUUAAAGGGAGAAAUGUAAAGUUAAGUCAUAUUAACAUAUUGUUUUUACGUCUCGUGGUUAUACUUUUGAAACACUGAGUAUUUUGAUAUUUACGGAUAGGCCGCAUUACUUCCAUUAUGUGACUCACUGACUGUAACCAAAAUUUGUGCUAUAUUUGAAAAAAAAUAAAAAUAGGGACAAAUUGUAAUAAAUCUGAAGAAGAAAAUGUCCUCCACAGAAAAUGUAUGUGUUCUUUCCAUUUUGUCAAAAAUAAAACUACAAAACUGUACUCUGAUGCGGAGGAUGGAUAAUGAUUGCCGUUAGACCAAGCAGUAAAGGCAAAAUGUGUAUUGUGUAUGCAGGUGUUCACUUGGAAUCUAAAACACUUAGCAGUCAUAUAUUAACUUAUUUAACAGCAGGAAUUGAACAUGUUCACCUGGAGUGAAUCCACUUUGUGAACUAAAAUGCAAAGGAAUGGAAGCUUUGAUACGUUUAAAGGUGCUGUUAGUGAUUUUUUUCAUGGAAGCGUAUGCAAAAAAAUUGUCCUGCUCCUUGAAAGAUAUUAGUAAAAUAAGUGUUGUGAAAUUUCUCAGCGAUCUCUUUGACAGCUCUAGACUCUGUAAACAGCAAACAAAAAUGUGUAUGGUCACUCAUGCUUUCUGCCUGUCAAUCAUUUUCUCGUUCAUUUAGUAUUGUACUUACAGCAAAUUAUUGAGGCUUUAUGCCAUUUUUAUGGCAUGUUGUUCAUAACAGUUGUCAGUUGAGGGCGAUAUUUUGCUGCUGUUGUUUUUAACAACCGUUUCUGCUCUCAAUAAAGCUCAUUUUGGUAUCUUUGGGGUGCAGGAAAGAGGGAGCACCGCUAUUUUAACGGCUCAGUCUCUUGGAAGUAGAACGGCUAAAAUCACUUACAGCACCUUCAAUGUUUAUUUAUUUUUAAAGACACAUUUAAACAUUCUAUUCAAGCGUUUUUGAGUGAUACCAGAGACAGUUUAGUAGAGACAGGCCACUUCUAUUUAAAUGAAUGGGAGAAAUUGGAACACCCAACCAAGAAGCUCUAGCGCCCAACGGUCAACGAAUGUAGAAAGGAAGUCCCGCCUUACAGGUAAAAGAGCCAAUCAGCUUUUAGAUACAGACAUCGCCUGCCAAUCAUCUCGCUAACGCUCAUGCACAUUAGCUGUACAAGCCGGGAAAUUGCGCGUUUUAGUGUAAUACGAGGUAAAGAAACACAAUUUAUGAUUCCAAUAUUUAAAAUGUUAUUGCUGUUACCCAUUCAAGUAGAUAGAAGCUGCACUGGCAUGACUGAAAAUAGUCUACCGAGAGUGUUGCAAAGAUGGCUGAUAGUGGACUGACUUUCUAGAAAGACUCUGGUGAUACAACAGUGAAACGUUCCAUUUGAUAAUAUACAAAACAUCAACACAUUUGGAACGUCACUUGUCCAAUCAAAUUAGUGGACCACAACUGUUGUGUAAAUGAAAAUAAUUAUAUGUUACCUUUUUGAUUUUCAGUCUUGUAUGAUCAUGGCGAACCAGUAAAGUGUCAUUCUGGCAUACCUAAGGCAGUCCAAGAUAAGAAAACUCCAGCACAUUAAAGAAUCAGAAUGUCAUGACUCCACCACAAAGUGGAUGAAUGUGGAACUGCGUUUUCUUGCUGGUGCUGAUGGUAUUUUAGAGCUCCUUAGUGCUUAUGAACUCUCAGUAUAAAGCUGAGAGGAUGAUGGUGCCCAUUGACUUCAGUUGAUGAAGCUGUGAAGACAACACAGCUAGAGACAGACUAUUUUUUUAGUCCCAGUCCUUUCCUAUUAACCGUUAUGCACGUGUCAUUUGUAACUACUGGAAGUAAAAACAGUAUUUGUGUUAUAUUUUAAGUGAACAUAUGCUGGUUUUGGUAAUUCCCCACUUAAAUUCUGCAUAUGGAAUUAUUGUGAAUGUAUUAAGAGUACAUUGUGCAUACGUUAUAUCUUUACAGUCACUACUUUCCCAGCGAGGUGUGAUGCACACAUGUGCUGACUUGCAUUAUUAUUGUUGUUUAGAUUAUUAGUCCAUCAGUAUGGGUUAUUCAGUGGCUGAUUUUUCAAAUGUGCAUCACAGAUGUAGAGACAUUAGAAACCUUAGAGGUGUUAUAAGAAUGAUGAAGGUGCAUUGAAGCCGCACCCUGCAGCUGAGCAGCUCUGAUGGCAUUUUCACUGCUGUUGCCUUUCUUGUCAAAGGGACUGUUAAAGUCUGCGGAAAUUUUACAAAAUGUAUUUUAACAGUUAGACAGUAUUUUAACAAUUCAACACUGGUUGUAUGGCACUAUUUUCUGUAAAGCUGCUCUUGAAGAGUAUUCAUUUUGAAAUGCUCUAUACAAAUAAAUCUGAAUGGAAAAUGUUUCUCUAAUAUUCUAAUAAAGUUUUUUUUUAUUAUUAUUAUUAUUAUUCUUUUUAACUGUAUGGGGUCUGGAGAUGCCCAAAGGGAUGCUAGAGGACCCAAGAAAAAUUUGAGAGAGAAAUACAAAGAUUUUACUAAAUGUAUUUUUAGGGCUGCUUGUCAAAGGUAAUGUGUUAAUUAAAUAUCUGUUUAAUUCUGAUUUUUAAUAUUUUAUUUUUUUCACAUCCCCAGAUUUUAACAGUAAGAAAUAAAGAUCACAUCUGCAUUUUAUUGCUUAUCUCUCCUUCCUUGUGACAUACAUUACGCACAUCAAAGAACUGCAUAUGCAUUGUAUCUGAGUUACAGUAUAUCUACAUGUCUAUUUUCUAUUCACUAUCCUCUGUAAAACUGCUUUAGAAUAUUAUUUAUUGUGAAAAGCAAUUCUUUUGGUUUAUACAUCUACCUUACUCUAAUAGUGGGUAGAAAAAACAUGCUGCCAACUUAAUACAAAGUAAUAUUUUCCAUAAUAUUUUGAUAAUUAUUUUGGCUUUAUUGUACAAUGACAACAUAAAUGCAAAUGAUUUAAUUUGUGAAACAACAUGUCUUUGCACGCUUAAUAUUUUAUACACAUAUAAAAUAUUAUACAUAGCUGCCUUUAUAUUUUUAAAAUGGAAGGGGGCCUUCGCAUGGGGGCCUAGCCUAAGACAUUCUUUAGAAUAGGGUUCUCAUAAAUCAUUACUUACAUUAUAGGUGAGCCUGGGGCAAGUUGUCACACAGGAAAGUUGUCACGGGCUAUAUAACGUAGCUUGUAGUUUUGAGUCAAACGGCCAAUUAAACUAUUGCAUGUUUUCUCUAGCAGUGAUUUUGUAUGUUGUUUUCAAAGAAAUAGUUCAAAACUCUCUUAAAUUAGGAUCAUUUUUCUUUUAUUCCGUACCCCUAACAACUUAAACUACAAUUCCAAUAUCAUCAUAUUUCUGUUGGGUAAACAAGUUAACACAAUAAAACCACACUGUCAUACAUUCAUGCAAAGGUCAUCUACGAAAUGAAAGUAGAUUUAAACCGAAAGUUUGUGUUCUCAGAAUAUCAGGUUGUGGCAAGUUGUCACAUUUUUAUUGGGUCAAGUUUGUCACAUAAAUGUUAUACAUUUGUAUUAUUUAUUCAUUGCAAUAUUUGUGGGCUGACAUUUUUUUAAUAAUUAGUUUUAAUAUUACCUUUCACAUUCCACAAGUUUCAAAUGUGCUAGAAAGCCUACAAUAGGCUGUUUAAUGGCAGUUUUGAUUGUAACAACUUACUCCAUAUAGUGUGAGAUCAAACAGGAUCAGCAUGUGUUCAGUGAACUGUAUCUUUUUUUCCCCUGUACAAUAAUGAUGGGAAUGUUCAAUAGUUUUAUGUCAUCAAGACUUUAUGCUAUGUGCUUACCUGCUUCUCCCUAACUGACUUUAGAAAAUAAACCUUUACUGAGAAAUAUUAAUUGGAGUAAAAUGUGUGAAAA